GGCCGGACCGGACCGGGCUGGGCUGGGCUGGGCUGGGCUGGGCGGCCCCUCCGGGCCCCUCCUGCCCGUUGCUGCCUCC
rnacentral:miRNA from 12 species